rnacentral:rRNA from 1 species
CCUACGGGAGGCAGCAGUGGGGAAUAUUGGGCAAUGGGCGAAAGCCUGACCCAGCAACGCCGCGGGAAGGAAGAAGGCUUUCGGGUUGUAAACUUCUUUUGACAGGGAAGAGCAGAAGAAGGUACCUGUAGAAUAAGCCACGGCUAACUACGUGCCAGCAGCCGCGGUAAUACGUAGGUGGCAAGCGUUGUCCGGAUUUACUGGGUGUAAAGGGCGUGUAGCCGGGCUGACAAGUCAGAUGUGAAAUCCGGGGGCUCAACCCCCGAACUGCAUUUGAAACUGUUGGUCUUGAGGAUCGGAGAGGCAGGCGGAAUUCCUAGUGUAGCGGUGAAAUGCGUAGAUAUUAGGAGGAACACCAGUGGCGAAGGCGGCCUGCUGGACGACAACUGACGGUGAGGCGCGAAAGCGUGGGGAGCAAACAGGCUUAGAUACCCUUGUAGUC